rnacentral:rRNA from 1 species
GGGCUGCAGUGGGGAAUUUUGGACAAUGGGGGCAACCCUGAUCCAGCCAUUCCGCGUGAGUGAAGAAGGCCUUCGGGUUGUAAAGCUCUUUCAGCAGGAACGAAACGGUGGUCCUUAAUACGGGCUACUAAUGACGGUACCUGAAGAAGAAGCACCGGCUAACUACGUGCCAGCAGCCGCGGUAAUACGUAGGGUGCGAGCGUUAAUCGGAAUUACUGGGCGUAAAGCGUGCGCAGGCGGUUAUGUAAGACAGGUGUGAAAUCCCCGGGCUUAACCUGGGAACUGCGCUUGUGACUGCAUAACUCGAGUGUGGCAGAGGGGGGUGGAAUUCCACGUGUAGCAGUGAAAUGCGUAGAGAUGUGGAGGAACACCGAUGGCGAAGGCAGCCCCCUGGGUCAACACUGACGCUCAUGCACGAAAGCGUGGGGAGCAAACAGGAUUAGAUACCCCUGUAGUC